AAUGAACGUUGGCGGCGUGGAUUAGGCAUGCAAGUCGUGCGAUAACCCCGCAAGGGGGGAAAGCGGCGAAAGGGAGAGUAACGCGUGGGUACCUGCCCCUUGGUCCGGAAUAGCUGCGGGAAACUGCAGGUAAUGCCGGAUAAUAUCCUCGGAUCAAAGGUGUGAUUCCGCCGAGGGAGGGGCCCGCGUUCUAUUAGCUAGUUGGUAGGGUAAUGGCCUACCAAGGCGACGAUGGAUACCGGGUGUGAGAGCAUGACCCGGCUCACUGGGACUGAGACACUGCCCAGACUCCUACGGGAGGCAGCAGUGGGGAAUAUUGGACAAUGGGCGCAAGCCUGAUCCAGCAAUGCCGCGUGAGUGAUGAAGGCCUUAGGGUUGUAAAGCUCUUUCGCACGCGACGAUGAUGACGGUAGCGUGAGAAGAAGCCCCGGCUAACUUCGUGCCAGCCGCCGCCGUAA
rnacentral:rRNA from 1 species